GACGAACGCUGGCGGCGUGCCUAACACAUUCAAGUCGAGCGAGUGGAUCUCCUUCGGGAGUGAAGCUAGCGGCGGACGGGUGAGUAACACGUGGGCAACCUGCCUCAUAGAGGGGAAUAGCCUUUCGAAAGGAAGAUUAAUACCGCAUAAGAUUGUAGCUUCGCAUGAAGUAGCAAUUAAAGGAGCAAUCCGCUAUGAGAUGGGCCCGCGGCGCAUUAGCUAGUUGGUGAGGUAACGGCUCACCAAGGCGACGAUGCGUAGCCGACCUGAGAGGGUGAUCGGCCACAUUGGGACUGAGACACGGCCCAGACUCCUACGGGAGGCAGCAGUGGGGAAUAUUGCACAAUGGGGGAAACCCUGAUGCAGCAACGCCGCGUGAGUGACGACGGCCUUCGGGUUGUAAAGCUCUGUCUUCAGGGACGAUAAUGACGGUACCUGAGGAGGAAGCCACGGCUAACUACGUGCCAGCCGCCGCGGUAAGAC
rnacentral:rRNA from 1 species